rnacentral:rRNA from 1 species
UACAGAGGGGGCAAGCGUUGUUCGGAAUUACUGGGCGUAAAGCGUGCGCAGGCGGUUUUGUAAGCCAGAUGUGAAAUCCCCGGGCUUAACCUGGGAAUGGCAUUUGGGACUGCAAGGCUUGAGUGCGGCAGAGGAGACUGGAAUUCCUGGUGUAGCAGUGAAAUGCGUAGAUAUCAGGAGGAAUACCGAUGGCGAAGGCAGGUCUCUGGGCUGACACUGACGCUCAUGCACGAAAGCGUGGGGAGCAAACAGG